UUAAAAAGCUCGUAGUUGAAUUUCGGGAUUUAUCCGUUGGUCGGGCUUUUGGGUCUGUACUGGCGUGAUGGAUUUCUACCUUCUGAAUAACCGGCAUGUCAUUAAUUUGGUGCGCCGGGGAAGCAGGACUGUUACCUUGAAAAAAUUAGAGUGCUUAAAGCAGGCUAUUGCCUGAAUACAUUAGCAUGGAAUAAUGAAAUAGGACGGCAUGGUUCUAUUUUGUUGGUUUCUAGGAUCACCGUAAUGAUUAAUAGGGAUAGUUGGGGG
rnacentral:rRNA from 1 species